rnacentral:rRNA from 1 species
AACGAACGCUGGCGGCAGGCUUAACACAUGCAAGUCGAACGCCCCGCAAGGGGAGUGGCAGACGGGUGAGUAACGCGUGGGAACAUACCCUUUCCUGCGGAAUAGCUCCGGGAAACUGGAAUUAAUACCGCAUACGCCCUACGGGGGAAAGAUUUAUCGGGGAAGGAUUGGCCCGCGUUGGAUUAGCUAGUUGGUGGGGUAAAGGCCUACCAAGGCGACGAUCCAUAGCUGGUCUGAGAGGAUGAUCAGCCACAUUGGGACUGAGACACGGCCCAAACUCCGAACGGGAGGAGGAAGGGGGAAUAAUGACACAUGGGCAGAAACAUUAACCCCCCAGCCCGGUGGAGGGAGAGAAGGCUUUAGGAUGAAAAAGCCCUUUCCCGGAGAAGAAAAAGAGGGUUGGCCGAGAAAGAACCCCAGAAAACCUUGG